CAUGUAGGCGGUUAAGCAAGCUUGGUGUGAAAUUCCGAGGCUCAACUUCGGAACUGCAUUGAGAACUGCAUAACUAGAAUUACUGAAGGGUAGCUAGAAUUCCAAGUGUAGGGGUGAAAUCUGUAGAUAUUUGGAAGAAUACCAAUGGCGAAGGCAAGCUACUGGCAGAUAAUUGACGCUGAGGUGCGAAGGUGCGGGGAGCAAACAGGAUUAGAUACCCCUGUA
rnacentral:rRNA from 1 species